CCUACGGGAGGCUGCAGUGGGGAAUAUUGGACAAUGGGGGGAACCCUGAUCCAGCCAUGCCGCGUGUGUGAAGAAGGCCCUCGGGUUGUAAAGCACUUUCAGUGAGGAAGAACGCCUGGUGGUUAAUACCCAUCAGGAAAGACAUCACUCACAGAAGAAGCACCGGCUAACUCCGUGCCAGCAGCCGCGGUAAUACGGAGGGUGCGAGCGUUAAUCGGAAUUACUGGGCGUAAAGCGCGCGUAGGUGGCUUGAUAAGCCGGUUGUGAAAGCCCCGGGCUCAACCUGGGAACGGCAUCCGGAACUGUCAAGCUAGAGUGCAGGAGAGGAAGGUGGAAUUCCCGGUGUAGCGGUGAAAUGCGUAGAGAUCGGGAGGAAUACCAGUGGCGAAGGCGGCCUUCUGGGCUGACACUGACGCUGAGGUGCGAAAGCGUGGGUAGCAAACAGGAUUAGAUACCCCGGUAGUC
rnacentral:rRNA from 1 species